rnacentral:tRNA from 1 species
GCUGUGGUAGCUCAGUCGGUAGAGCAUGAGGCUCAUAAUCUCAGGGUUGUGGGUUCAAGCCCCACCUUGGGCA